GGUCGUUGUCCGGCACGCAGGGAAUGCGCCUGUGAGGGCGGCGGAGGAGCGGGUGCCGGGUGAAGCCCCGGCGGAGCGGAGCGAUGUCCCAGCCCCAGCAGCCGCCGCCGCCGUCCUCUCAGCAGCAGCCGCAGCCGCCGCCUCCGUCCGCCUCCAAGAAGCGAGACCGGCGCAUCUUCUCGGGUACCUGCCCCGAUCCCAAAUGCCAGGCGCGGCUGUUCUUCCCGGCGCACGGGCCGCAGGGCAGCGGCAGCAUCGAGUGCACGGACUGCGGGCGGCGCCACGAGCAGCGGCAGCUGCUGGCCGUGGAGGAGGUGACGGACCCCGACCUGGUGCUGCACAACCUGCUGCGGAAUGCGCUGCUGGGCGUCAGCGGCGCCGGCCCGCCCCGCAGGAACACCGAGCUCGUCAAAGUCAAUGGCCUCUCCAACUACCACUGCAAGCUCCUGGCCCCCAUCCUGGCCCGCUAUGGGAUGGACAAGCAGACUGGCAAAGCCAAACUCCUCACGGAGAUGAACCAGGGAGACAUCUUUGACUGCUCUCUCCUGGGCGACCGCGCCUUCCUCAUCGAGCCAGAGCACGUUGAAACCAUGGGUUAUGGGAAGGACCGCUCCGGCAGCCUCAUCUACUUGCACGACACCCUGGAGGACAUCAAGAAGGCCAACAACAGUCAAGAGUGCCUCAUUCCUGUCCACGUGGAUGGAGAUGGCCACUGCCUUGUCCAUGCAGUCUCAAGAGCACUUGUUGGCAGGGAACUGUUCUGGCAUGCUCUCCGAGAGAAUCUAAAGAAGCAUUUUGAGGAGAAUCUAAGCCACUACAAGGCACUUUUCCAUGACUUUAUUGAUGCUGCAGAGUGGGAGGAUAUUAUCAAUGAAUGUGACCCUUUGUUUGUUCCUCCAGAAGGUGUGCCAAUGGGCCUUAGGAAUAUUCACAUCUUUGGUCUAGCCAAUGUGCUUCACCGGCCUAUCAUCCUGUUAGACUCCUUGAGUGGAAUGCGAAGCUCUGGAGACUAUUCAGCAACAUUCCUCCCUGGUCUGAUACCUCUGGAAAAAUGCAUGGGGAAAGAUGGCAUGUUGAACAAGCCGAUCUGUAUUGCGUGGAGUAGCUCAGGACGUAACCAUUAUAUUCCUCUGGUUGGAAUAAAAGGUGCUGCUUUACCUAAGCUGCCUAGGAAGCUACUUCCUAAAGCCUGGGGAGUUCCUCAAGACCUCAUCAAAAAGUAUAUCAUGUUAGAGGAGGAUGGUGGUUGUAUUAUUGGAGGAGACAGAAGUUUGCAGGAUAAGUACUUGAUGAGGCUUGUUGCUGCAAUGGAGGAGGUUUUCAUGAGUAAACAUGGUAUCCACCCCAGCCUUGUAGCUGAUGUGCAUCAAUAUUUCUACAGAAGGACUGGUGUAAUAGGGGUCCAGCCCGAAGAGGUCACUGCAGCUGCCAAAAAAGCAGUGAUGGACAACCGCCUUCACAGGUGCCUCAUCUGUGGGGCUCUUUCAGAGCAUCACGUUCCCCCUGAGUGGCUGGCUCCUGGGGGGAAGCUGUAUAACCUGGCAAAAAGUACUCAUGGCCAGCUAAGGCCUGACAAAAAUUACAGUUUUCCCCUGAACAGUUUGGUGUGUUCUUACAACCCUGUGAAGGAUGUGCUGGUACCAGAUUAUGGCCUGAGUAACUUGACUGUUUGUAACUGGUGCCACGGUAACUUAAUGCGUCGUGUCAGAGAAGAUGGGUCUGUUUUGUAUAUUGAUGGAGACAGAACUAAUACUAGGUCUUCAGGUGGCAAAUGUGGCUGUGGAUUCAAGCAUUACUGGGAAGGUAAAGAAUAUGACAAUCUGCCUGAAGCUUUUCCUAUAACUCUAGAGUGGGGUGGAAGAGUGGUGAGAGAGACUGUCUACUGGUUCCAGUAUGAAAGUGACACCUCUUUGAACAGCAACGUGUAUGAUGUCGCCAUGAAACUUGUUACCAAGCACUUCCCUGGUGAAUUUGGUAGCGAGAUUCUUGUGCAGAAAGUUGUCAACACAAUACUGCACCAAACUGCCAAAAAGAACCCUGAUGAUUAUACCCCUGUAAAUAUCGAUGGUGCUCACGCCCAAAGAGCUGAUGAUGUACAGCAAGGACAAGAAUUAGAGUCACAACUUCCAACCAAAAUAAUUUUGACUGGACAGAAGACUAAAACUUUGCACAAGGAGGAGUUGAAUAUGAGCAAAGCUGAAAGAACUAUUCAGCAGAACAUUGCAGACCAGGCUUCUGUAAUGCAGAAACGGAAAAGUGAGAAAUUGAAACAGGAGCAUAAAGGGCAACCCAGGACUGCUUCUCCUGGGGCUGUUCGUGAGGGGCCCUCGUCCGCACCUGCUACACCAACCAAAACCCCAUAUUCUCCAACUUCUGCAAAAGAAAAGAAAAUUCGAAUAACCACCAACGAUGGGAGGCAGUCAAUGCUUACCUUGAAGUGCACUACCACCUUCUUGGAACUCCAGGAAGGCAUAGCAAGAGAAUUUAAUAUUCCCCCGUAUUUGCAAUGUAUUCGCUACGGCUUUCCUCCAAAAGAGCUUCUGCCUCCCAAAGAAGGCAUGGAAAACGAGCCUGUUCCUUUGCAGCACGGUGACAGGAUUGCCAUAGAAAUCCUCAAGGGCAAGGAGGAAAGCAGGCAGGCUGCCUCAGCACACUCAGCCCAUGCUGUGAAGCACGAAGAUGUUGCUGUGACCAGUAAGAUCUCAUCGAAGGAUCUGCAAGAGCAAGUCGACAAGGAGAUGUAUUCACUCUGUCUUCUGGCAACGCUCAUGGGAGAAGAUGUUUGGUCUUAUGCAAAGGGGCUUCCUCAGUUGUUUCAGCAGGGUGGAGUAUUCUACAGUAUAAUGAAGAAAACAACAGGUUUGGCUGAUGGCAAGCACUGCACUUUUCCACAUCUGCCUGGUAAAAACUUUGUGUACAAUGCAGCAGAAGACAGAUUAGAGCUGUGUGUGGAUGCUGCUGGGCACUUCCCGAUCGGUCCUGAUGUUGAAGAGCUGGUUAAAGAGGCCUUAAGUCAAGUGCGAGCAGAAGCUGCUUCAAGAAGCAGGGAAGCAAGUCCUUCACAUGGAAUGCUGAAGCUGGGUAGUGGUGGAGUAGUGAAAAAGAAAUCUGAACAACUACAUAACAUAACUGCAUUUCAAGGAAAGGGUCAUUCCCUAGGAACUGCAUCUAGUAGUCAACAACAUGAUCAAAGAGCCAGGGAAACACCACUUUUAAGAAAGCAUAGCACAGAAACGGACUUCAGUCCUUCUGCUAAAAUUGAGCCUUCUGUAUUCACAGCUGCUUCUGGUAACAGUGAGCUUAUUCGAAUUGCUCCGGGAGUUGUGACAAUGAGAGACAGCAGGCAGCUUGACCCCACUUUGAUUGAGGCACAGAGAAAAAAGUUGCAGGAAAUGGUCUCUUCUAUUCAGGCUUCAAUGGAUAGACAUUUGCGGGAUCAGAAUACAGAGCAGUCAGCAUCAGUUGAUGUAUCUCAAAGGAAAGUAGAGGCAGUGAGUUCAACUGCUAAAACUGGGAGCUUUCAGGCUGCCUUACCCGAAUCAUUCUCUGCACCAGGUGGUACUGAAUGCUUGAAUACUGAAUCAACUGAUGGUAACAUGGUGAAUUCUGUGGGAACAACAUUCCCUGCAAGGUCUAAAGCACAAAAGGGAAAUUCUGUUGAGGAGCUUGAGGAGAUGGAUAGUCAAGAUGCAGGAAUCACUAAUGCAACUGAGCCAAUGGAUCACUCUUGAUAGGUUAAAAUCUAAUAAGGGUAGAAGAAAUUACUGUUCAAAUGUAAUGUUUAUUGGCUGGGCCACACAAAGUGAUUAGUUAUUAAAUCUUGUAUGUAUGUCAAAGAUUAUAUCAUCUUAUUCAGUGCAUGAUAAGCAUGUGAUUGGCAAUAGCUUUCAAUAUUACCAUACUGCUGCCCAGGCUGGCUCUGUUACCUGUAAAUUAGUUAUUAGGAAAUGCACUGAGAUAAAUAUCUGCUGUACAUGUGGGUUCUUGAAAAUUCUUUGUAAUUUUUAAUUUCUUAAAAGUCUUAAAAUUUAAGCCCAUGCAAGGUUCUUACCAUGCUAGCUUAAGGUUACUGGAAGGGCUAGAACAGGCAAAACUAGAAACAUGGCAAAGUUAAUUCUGCUCCAGGUGCAAUAAAAAAGACACUAUUAUCAUAAAUGAGACAUGAAUUUCAAAAAGUAACUGAAACUAAACUUCUGCUCAAUUUGAUAAUGCAGUACUUUUAAUUAUAUUUUGCUGGCACUUCUCCAAUUUUUUAACUUUUUCAUUCAUAUCCUCCUCUCAAAUCUUGGAAUAAGUGUAACUUCAGUAAACUGAAGUCUAAACUUUCCUAUUGCCAGUUAGAAAGCAAGUUAGGAAAAAGGCCACAUAGCAUAUGAUGAAGAUAGCUUGAAUGUGCUGUGGUUAUGCAUGGCUGUCUGAGCCAACACAACCAUUUUGGUGCUCUAUUGGUAGCUUGUCUUUAUUUCCUCCCAAACACCAAACUGGUCAGGUGGUUGUGCAACUUUUGAGACAGUUUAGGGAAAACAGGCAAUCGCAAGUAAGAGCAAAUGUUCAAUGGCAGAUCCAUUUCUUUUAGAAGACUUAGAUUGCUAGCAUUGGUUAGAAAUGGCAAAAAAAAUGAAAUAACUGUCCUCUUAAGAGCAAAUUAACAAUUUAUUGAAAGGAAAUGACUCUCUAACACACAUUAUCCUAAAGCAUUUGGUGAUAAUUGAGCUUUUAGAAGCUCACUGUUUACUCUGUGGGAACAAUGAAUACAUGCUGUUUCAGUGUCUAUAAAGACUACCCACCUCUCUCAGCCUCACUUCAGUUUGUGAUGCAGAUUUCCCUGUAUCAGUGAUAAUAGAGCUGGUAUCCACUUAAAUAGUAUGUUCAUCAGACCUGUAGUGCUAAUUUUUAAGAAGCAGCCAUUGUGCUUGCUCCCUAAGGAUGGAAUGUGUUUCUGAUAACUGCACUUUGCUUCCUACCUUCAUAGUCAUUUAAAUGCAUUAUCGUUGCUUCUUCUCGUGGUAAAAUAACAUUGAAUGGAUGAAAAGAUGUUAAAACAGCUUGAAAGGAAUUAAGAGCAUUUAAAUACUGAAAUCUGUGUUUGUGCACAUGUAGGUUUUUACCAGUUCACAAAUGUGGUUUGUGUUGUAUAUGUUUGUAUUCAGAAAAGUCUCCUCACUUUUUACAUUUAUAAUCACUUAAACAGUUCUAAGCAUUAGUAUGUAAAAUGUCCCAUGAGGAAGGAUUUAUUUUUGUAUGUAGAACUGAAAUGAAGCAAGUCACUUAAAGAAUAGCCCUUCUCUUCUGUCAAAGUAAAUUAAAAUGCCUCUGUUGGUUAACUUUUUAUGUAGAUGGUACAAAUAUUUUAUGAUUUUUUACACAACUUAGAGGUAAAAUAGAAAUAUCACAUUUCCACAAAUAAAUGAAAAAUGUUCAGAUCUCAAAUUGCUAUCUGGUAAGUUAGCAGUUUGGAAACUUGGAAUGUAUAAAGCAAUUGGCUUGCCAGAACUGACCUUGCUGAUGCACUGAUUAACUGGCAGGGCUUAUUCAAUGGGAAACAGGAUGCACAGGCAGCACCUGGAAGCCUGCCAUGACUUCUGAAAACAUUUAGUCUCCCAUGAAUCAGUCUAGCUCGCUGAAGGCUACAUCUAUAUAGAAAAUGUUGACUAGAGGCUUGUGUUUUGUCACAGUGUUAGAAAAAUAUAGCAGUGACUUAUUCCUGGGAAAAAAUUUAAAUUGGGAGAGGCUGAGGGGGAGGAAUCUCCUGGAUCUCUUGCAUUUUAGACCAGGUAACCAAUGCUUUGACAGUUGUAACCUUUUCUGUAGGAAAAAAAAAUCUUCCUUGGCUGGAAAAAUGAUGAGCGAGCAGUGUAUAUGAGCGAAAUUCAAGUUUGAAAUAAAUUGGAAUAUUUAUUGCACAUCAUUCUUAUUUCAAGGAAAAAUGCUUGCUUCUUUCAUGCCUUUCUGGUAAGACUGCAGAAGUUUGUGUGCCUUUUACUGUGUAAAGAGGAAGGCUUGGUUUAGUUUUGACACACUUCCCAUUUCAGCAGUAAUUUGACAUUUUCCUUAUCUAAGUAGACAUGGAAACGGAUAAUAGCUCUGACUCACCAUUAGUGUCAUCUCGGGCCCACUCAAGUCAUGUAGAUCAGAACCCUCCAGUUCCUAAAAGAAGAUGGUCUCACAGGCCUGAUAAAAUGGUGUUAAUCACAAGAUCCACUUAGUGAAUUCUCAAAGGCAAGAUUGUGCAUAUUUCUUUGCAGUGCUCUUAUCUCACAUAGCUUUUUCAUGCAUUUAGUAUCAGUGGUUUUGAGAUAGGUAGCUUUUGAUACUCUCAAUUGAAGCUAAACUUCAUCUACGUGCCAAUGAGAUGUGUGACUGGGCAGGAGAAGUGAAAUAAAGAACACUGAAGUGUAAGUUGGAACAGAUGUUUCAUUUGGUUGCUAGCAGUGGAUGCAAAUGUAAGUUGAGACAAAUCUGUGUGCCUGUCUAAGAAGCUCCAGUGUGCUUGUUAGAAUUCCCUGUUAAGAGUCAGGAAAAUGCUGGUGGGGGACAAGGGAAGACUUUGGCUCAUUGUGGAUGAGGUGUGUCAGUAGCACUUUUCAAAUGUCAAGAAUGGUGUCCUUUUCUUGAAAAGUAAAGGCAACCAACCCAAAUUCUUGCUACCAAAUUUCCUGUGGAAAGAGGUUGUGGUUUUGAGUGCCCACCUUGAUUACUUUCUUAGCUGAAGGCAAACAAGCUUCUACACUGCAUCUCAUGGCAAAGAGGACACAUUAUUAGAAAAUCCUAAAUAUUACUAUGGCUUAGUAUGUAUAAACCCAAAGAAAAAAUUAUUGUUAAAAAUACAGGCCUAGUACAAAAAUAAAAAGGGGAAUUAAUUAGAUUGCUGAUGAACAUUGGGAAACCUUGGGAGAAUGGAUCAGUUUUCCAGGGAAAUGCAAGAUUUUUACUACUUCAAAUGGCUGGCUGCUUAGUAAGGUUGACUAUUUGAUAGUGCUGUUUCUCUCUUUAUUGUUUGCAUUUCAGUGAGGGAAAAUAAAUAGCAGAUUUGCAAAUGAAAUCAAAGAAAUGUAUUUGGGAUGUCUUCCCUGUUGUAGUCACAAAACAGCUGUGUGCAUUGUUGGCUUUGUGAAUCCGGUAUAGUUUGCUAGUUUUGUGCUGGCUGCAAAAUACAAGCUAGACAUGCCUCUGACAGAGUGCUCUAGCAGUGUCACAGAGGCACAGUGCCACAGGGCUGUGUGCUUACAACCCUGCAAGGCCAAAAUACUUGAUUUAGAAUCUUCAUUAAGUAGAAUCUGUUGUCACUGUCACAGGGUUAGUGGAGUUGCUACUUUUUCAAUGUGCUGAAAAUGCCAGGUAACAAAAUUCUUGGUAUGUUUACAGUUGGGAGAGUGAUGCUCAAUCUGAGUUGUAUGGAAAAUGAAUUAUUUAAGAGGAUGCCACUGUUAUCUCUACAUUUGUCUGGCUCCUAUUUUUAAAUAUCAGAAUCUACAUGCUUUUGUAAAAUAAUAAUAAUAUGAAUAUGAAGUUAAUCCCUUUGUUAAGAAAAUGCCACAACAGAGAGUGGUUUCUUUGUUUUGCUUGUGGAUAUCAGUUUAGCUUCAUGAAGAAGUUGCUUAAGAUCUUUAGAAUGCAGGAUUCCCUCUGAGCCCUUAUGCCUGUGGUUGAGCAAUAAAAGGUUGAAACAAGAGUGGUAUUUUCAGAGUUAUUUUGCGUUUGAUGAGGAUUAUUGCCAAGAAAUGAAAGAGUGCACUUUUAGGAGGGAAUGCUAUUUAAAAUGUAUAAAUAGGAAUUAAAAUAGUGUAUAUAUUUAGAAAAAAAUCUUUUUAAAAAGUAAGUGCUUUACAUGUUGAAUUAAAAAUGAAUUAGCAUAGAAACUAUACCAUCCUCACAGUACUGGCUGUUAUCCAGCAAGGUUUGGUUUGUUUUAUUUGUGAUUGCUGUACUAAUUAUAUUUGAUUUUUUUUAUCUGUAAUGUAACAAUAGUGUAUUAUAACAGUAUAUAGUGUACUAUACUACACUUCACUGUACAGUAUUUGGAAUUUUCUUUGAUUGCUAUAUUAAAACUAUAAGUUAAAACAUCUGCUUUGGUUU